AGCACCAAAUAGCAUCUUGCACUGAUACCACGCUCUUAGAAGAGUCCAGCUGCUGGACGCAACCUGCAGAGGGACCGUAGAGAAGAUAAGGCUGGAGUGGGAAAGGAAGAAGAGGGAGUGAGGGUUUGGAACGGGAUGGUGCUGGAGGCAAUUAGCAUUACAGAAAACGCCUCUCUAAUUUUGGCCGUGGCUCCAACAGUAACUCAGAAAGAAGGCAAGACACUGGACAAGUAGCUGCAGCGCUCUUAGAGGUGUGCACGCCAUUUACAAAUUUCUAUUUAAAAAGAAUUUGCAUGUGAAUGAGGUUCAGGACAGACACAA
rnacentral:lncRNA from 1 species